CCCAGGCCUGCAGGGCCACACUGCACACAGGUGUCUGUCCCAAAUGGGACACGGUGGCUUCAACCAAAAAGAAAUGAAGUUGAAGGCAGAACAUAUUCCUGGGUAUCCAAUGGCUGCAUCCCACAGCUGUGCCCUCCUCAGCCAGAGCAGGAAUUUAUUCUAAAAGAUGACAAGGGAAGCCCAGUUGCUCUGUCGUACGAGAGGAACACGAAGAGAAUGCAGCUGGUGAAACCAACUGUUGGAGCUGAUGAAUAGAACCUCCUGUGCAGGGAGCACAGGGGAGGGCAGUGUUACCCACAUCACACCUCUGAUGGACAAGAUGGUCACAUUUGCCAAAGGUCACAUUAAAACCAUGAGAUAUUGUGGAUUCCCUCUUGGAUCAGGCCUGGCAGAGCAGGUGGAGGAAGACCCAGUGGGUUUCUCCCCCACCGACACCACGUGCUGUAAAUAAGCUUUGCCUUUUCUCUCACUGCCAGCGAAGGUGUAAGAAUUCCACAGCAGAAAGCAGAUGAAAAGCACCUUUUCCUGCUGGACCUGGGGCUGAGUUCCUCCUGUUGCUCCUGGAAUGAGGGCAGUGGAGCUGGGUGAACACACCACGUGUGGGUGGUGGUGGCUCGCUCCCGGCUGGCACGUCUUUGGACACAUCUGGGAUGUCACAGGAGCAUCCUUGUCCCUGGAUGUUCACAGCAGAGAAGGUCUGCUUGGGAACACUGUGGGCUGGACAGGCUGCUCUGGCAAUUCCCAGCACUGCUGGAGUGGUGGGUGGGUUUGGGUUGCUGGGGUGGAGAAGGAUGGAUCACUCACGUCAACUCAUUAAAACAGCUUUUCUCCUCCCGUGGCCAGAACAGGGGUGCCCUUUCUCACACUCUUUUUAAAAUAAGAUGUUCUUGGUCUGCAAACUCCUCCUUGUAUUUGGCUUGUUGGUUCUGAGCUCCUGGCCCUGUGUUUCAGCCACUGCUCCCCAAAUGGUUGCUUGGCUUUUGGAAGGUCUCGCUGGGCUGUCGUGCAAGAGGAGCCAGAUCUUCCUUACAGAUAAUGAAGUCUCUGUUAACAGCAGAAAAUAAA